GCCGUCCCGAGGGCAGCGCGCGGCCGCCGGGCUCCCGGGGACCGAGCUGCGAGCCGGAGGACGAGACGCGGCGCAAAGUCUCGGGGUGCAAAACUUGGCGUUCUGCGCUGCGGCUACGGGCGCGGAACUGCUGUAAUGCUUGCUGAUGAAGACGACUUUCAGGAAAGCAGUGUUGAAAUCAAAUGGGUAGAAAAAAAAAAAAAGAGUUGGUGUCAAUCCCCAGGCUUCACCAGUAAAAUGAGGCUUGAUAUCAAGGUCAGGUUUUUAAUCUCCUUUAUGAAGCUAUGUUCAGAAUGUGAAGUCAUCCAGAAGACCCAGCACUUACCCUGAUGACUGGUCUAAAAUUAAAGGCCGGACAAAAAAGACCUGAAAAAGAAUCUGGCAUGAUUCAGAAGGCAGCUUGAUGCUAUCGACUGAUGAAAAUCCAACACCAGUCUCAUGCCAACACAGACCCAGCCAAAUAUAAACAACAAAAUUAAAUUAAAAUCAUCCUCAAAAUUUACAAAGGUAUAACCCCCUCAA